CGUAGGGUGCGAGCGUUAAUCGGAGUUACUGGGCGUAAAGGGUGCGCAGGCGGUCCUGCAAGUCAGGCGUGAAAUCCCCGGGCUUAACCUGGGAAUGGCGCUUGAAACUACGGGACUGGAGUAUGGCAGAGGGAGGUGGAAUUCCACGUGUAGCGAUGAAAUGCGUAGAGAUGUGGAGGAACACCGAUGGCGAAGGCAGCCUCCUGGGCCAAUACUGACGCUCAUGCACGAAAGCGUGGGGAGCAAACAGGAUUAGAUACCCUGGUAGUCCACGCCCUAAACGAUGAUGACUAGUUGUUGGAGGAGUUAAAUCCUUUAGUAACGCAGCUAACGCGCGAAGUCAUCCGCCUGGGGAGUACGGUCGCAAGAUUA
rnacentral:rRNA from 1 species